rnacentral:rRNA from 1 species
UACGUAGGGUGCGAGCGUUGUCCGGAAUUACUGGGCGUAAGGAGCUCGUAGGUGGUUUGUCGCGUUGUUCGUGAAAACUCACAGCUUAACUGUGGGCGUGCGGGCGAUACGGGCAGACUGGAGUACUGCAGGGGAGACUGGAAUUCCUGGUGUAGCGGUGGAAUGCGCAGAUAUCAGGAGGAACACCGGUGGCGAAGGCGGGUCUCUGGGCAGUAACUGACGCUGGAGGAGCGAAAGCGUGGGGAGCGAACAGG